rnacentral:lncRNA from 1 species
GAAUGGGACCUCAUUCGGACAAAAGGGUCUUUGCAGAUGUAAUUAAGGACCUCAAGAUGAAAUCCUCCUGGACUCAUCAGGUGGGCCCGAGACCCCCUGACACAGACAGAGACACAGGGAGAGUUCCAUGUGACAGUGGAGGCAGGGACUGGAGUGAUGUAUCUGUGCCCAAGGAACACCAAGGAUUGCCAGCAGCUCCCAGGAGGAGAUGGGAUGGAGCUGACGCUCUCCGGAGCCUUCAGAAGGAACCAAAUCUGAUACUGGAUUUCCGUCCUGCAGAACUGGGAGAAAAUGCAUUUCUGUUUGAAGUUACCAAGUUUGUGGUCAUUUGUGAGAGCAGCCCCAGGAGAUGAACACAGGGUGGCCCCAUGCCAGGACAGAGGGGCAAGAGGCUGGGGCUCUGUGCUCCUCCAGGGCUCACUCAGGCUCACUCUGAGCGUUCAGUGCAGUGUUUGGGGCACCCGGUGACCCUGGGUGUGAGGAGACGUGGUCUGUGCCUUCUGGCCCAUCGUCAUUUGCUCUGGGUGCUGAUAUCAACCAUAGGCAAUUUAAUUCUAGACUGGAAUGGAGCUGGGAAGGGCGCACCUUCCUGCCAAAAGCAAUUUCGUCCAAAGUCUGCACCUCGGUGGCUGAGCAUGGCGGGCUGGGAUGUUUUCACACUGCCACUCUAGAAACAGCGGAAAUGCAGACGCUUUCCUCCUUCACAAUUUUUGAUUGCUUUGACUUUUGGUGUGUCCGAGAGGCUGUAACUCAAAUAACCGUUCCCCACCUUUGGUUAGAUCCUAGAGUCUCUGGUACAUUGUCCGUCACCGGGGCUGCUUGGAGGCUUCCCAAAGGCCGCCAUUUUGGUAGGCUCAUUGAGAGAUACAGAAGAAAUAGGAGCAAACGGCUCCACAGUAGAGAUACAAGCAGCUUCUACCUUCAAAUUACUGUGGUUUUUAUUUGACCUGUUGGAAGUUCUGGGGUUUCUAUAAAGGAUAAAAACUCUCUUUGGGCAGGCACAGUUUAGAUCUGGAAAGUCCUGACUCCGGCCCCUUCAGUUUAUGGCCUGAGGAGCUUGAGGGCCUGAGGGCAGCCAGUGGCCGGAACACACGGGCUCUUUAGCUGAGGAGGGACUUGAACCCAGGUGUUCCGACGCGAGGACUCUCUCCCACCACAUACAGCACAGCACUGCUUGCGUUGUUUGGUUUUGUAUUGCUUUGGAAUUAGUCCAACUAUCAUCAUCGAUGUGAAUAAAUAGACAUGUAUCUUUUCAGUUUGCACAACUACAACCAUAAAUGAAUAUUUAUUAGUGUGAAGACACCCCCAGGUCCUGGAACACUCAACACAUGUAGAGCCAGGUGUAUUCAGGAGUCCAUGCAGCAGGAAGUGGAGCCAUCACAGGGUACGAAGGGAGGACAAGUGCAGUGUCGUGAGCACGUACAGAGGGAAGUUGACAGCGGGGAGAGGCUUUGCUGAGGAAGUGGCAUUUGGAAGAACGAGAAUGAGAUGGGGUUUUGCCGUGUUACCCAGGCUAGUCACGAACUCCUGUGCUCAAGCGAUCUGUCUGCCUCGGCCUCCCAAAGUGCUGGGAUUGCAGGCAUGAGCCACCGCGCCCAACCAGAAAGCCACUGCUUUAUAGACCACCACUUAAAUGCACCUGGCAGCUUAAUGUACGCGAAAACUUUCCUGCAGCUCCUUUAAAUUUAAGAAUCUUUUGGCAAAAUGAAGAAUACAAGCGUGUUUCUUCUUCAUAUGCUUUGUUUUAGGAACAUUAAAAAAUAUAGUUACUACAAUCAGAAAGCAGUUAUAUUUGUAUGUUUUGUAACAAAUACUGUGGCCUGAUAGAAUGAGCUUCUGACAAAGGCAUGUGCUUUCCAAGUGGGCCAAGUUCAAAAAUUGUCCGCAGAGUUGUCUCACUGGCUCAUCCAGCCAAUCAUUCAAAUAUUUAAAGGCCCUACUAAGGGCCAUGUUACUCAUUGUACAUCUUUAAGGAUGGGUGUAACUUACUUAUCUGUUUAUUUUCAAUUUCAGAAUACUUUAUAUUGACUCCUAAAAGUAUGGUGUAGUGUAUGUUUGUUUUGGGAGUUUCAAUACAAUCCCUAAAUUUAUGUAUCUCAAAUGUACAGGGACUGAUCAAAUUAGACAGUGCUAAUCUUCCUAAAACAGUGUCAAAAACAAGGGAAUCAAUCAUGAACACACUAAGCAUGAGCAUCGACUAUCACAAGACAUGGCUCAGUUUAUUUUUUCUUCCUUCUUACUACACUCGUAGAACAGAGCUCUUUUGUUUGCUUAUGACCUGGGCAAAUUUGCUGUAUGAUAAAAAAAAAUCAUGUAUGCAUUUGAUUCUCAUCCAGAUGCCCUUAGGAUAAGAGGUUCAUUUUCAUCUUCUGUUUUCCAAAUGAAGCUUUAAAUCUAAUUAGAUCUUGAAAGAAAAUAACUGCAAUAGGGUUUCUGUAAGUAAAGGGCCCUCAUUUAAAUAAUGCUCUUAUUUGUUUAUGUGAUUUACAGUAAGUGAUGAAACUCUUCGUGGCCAGCACGCCGCUCACUUCGGGGAUCCUUUGCACAGAGCACUUUGAGUUAGUUAUAAACCAUUCUACACACAGAAGCAUUUAAUUGUUAGAACAUUUCAUAGUGUAACAGAAUUUCUCAGUGCCUAGCAUGGGCCUUCUCCAUAUCGAAGGCCCAAUAAAUAUUUGUAGAAUAAAGGAAUUCACACCC